rnacentral:rRNA from 1 species
CUACGGGUGGCUGCAGUGGGGAAUAUUGCACAAUGGAGGAAACUCUGAUGCAGCAACGCCGCGUGGAGGAUGACACUUUUCGGAGCGUAAACUCCUUUUAUAUAGGAAGAAGAUGACGGUACUAUAUGAAUAAGCGCCGGCUAACUCCGUGCCAGCAGCCGCGGUAAUACGGAGGGCGCAAGCGUUACCCGGAAUCACUGGGCGUAAAGAGCGUGUAGGCGGAUUAAAAAGUCAGAAGUGAAAUCCUAUAGCUUAACUAUAGAACUGCUUCUGAAACUCUUAAUCUAGAAUGUGGGAGAGGUAGAUGGAAUUUCUGGUGUAGGGGUAAAAUCCGUAGAGAUCAGAAGGAAUACCGAUUGCGAAGGCGAUCUACUAGAACAUUAUUGACGCUGAGACGCGAAAGCGUGGGGAGCAAACAGGAUUAGAUACCCCAGUAGUC